CCUACCCUUGACAUGGCAGGAAUCCCGAAGAGAUUUGGGAGUGCUCGAAAGAGAACCUGCACACAGGUGCUGCAUGGCUGUCGUCAGCUCGUGUCGUGAGAUGUUGGGUUAAGUCCCGCAACGAGCGCAACCCUUGUCAUUAGUUGCUACGAAAGAGCACUCUAAUGAGACUGCCGGUGACAAACCGGAGGAAGGUGGGGAUGACGUCAAGUCCUCAUGGCCCUUAUGGGUAGGGCUUCACACGUCAUACAAUGGUACAUACAGAGGGCCGCCAACCCGCGAGGGGGAGCUAAUCCCAGAAAGUGUAUCGUAGUCCGGAUUGUAGUCUGCAACUCGACUACACGAAGUUGGAAUCGCUAGUAAUCGCGGAUCAGCAUGUCGCGGUGAAUACGUUCCCGGGUCUUGUACACACCGCCCGUCACACCAUGGGAGCGGGUUUUACCAGAAGUA
rnacentral:rRNA from 1 species